CUGGUUCCCACUGUGCAGCCCAGCCCCUCGGCCAAGGCAGGCUGGGUGGCAGAUGGGGCCUUCCAAGAGUGCACGGCCCAGCCUUGUCCCUGAACUUCCGACCUAAGGAGGAGGAAGGCCAGCUGCUUUGGGCUCCCCUCACGUCUGGUCCAGCCCAGGAGAGCUUCCUGGAGGCAGGCGCCAGCAGGCUUGGCCAGGAUGGCAGCAAUGCUCUGGGACGUUUCCCCUUUGGAGGCUGCUCGAGAUACCUGGCUGAUAAAGGGCUGAUUUGCAGAGACUUAAUUAUGGCCCGAAGCCCUCAGUGUAAACAAUGGGAUUUCCUACUCAGGGGCUGCAACUCCCAGCCUUGGGUUCGAGUCCAGCUCCAUCUCCCAGGAGAUCCAUCCCUCCAUCCUCUGAGGCUUCGUUCCCUGGGCCUGGGUGGGGUCACCAGGCACCAGGCUUAGCCCAAGGCAGGCAAG
rnacentral:lncRNA from 1 species